rnacentral:rRNA from 1 species
CAGUAGCCGCGGUAAUACGAAGGAGGCUAGCGUUGUUCGGAUUUACUGGGCGUAAAGCGCACGUAGGCGGAUCGAUCAGUCAGGGGUGAAAUCCCAGAGCUCAACUCUGGAACUGCCUUUGAUACUGUCGAUCUGGAGUAUGGAAGAGGUGAGUGGAAUUCCGAGUGUAGAGGUGAAAUUCGUAGAUAUUCGGAGGAACACCAGUGGCGAAGGCGGCUCACUGGUCCAUUACUGACGCUGAGGUGCGAAAGCGUGGGGAGCACACAGGAUUAGAUACCCGCGUAGUCCCUGUCUCUUAUAC